GUUUUUGAUUGAAGGAUUUUAAAUUGAAGGAUCUGAUCAUCCAUUUUCAUGACGUCGUUCGAUUUUGACCGUUCAUUUUAUACCCGCUUGAUGAACUUUACUAUGAUUUCAAAAAAUUACGAAAUUUAUUUUUUAAAAGUUUCAAAUAUUUUAGAUCAUAUUUAACGGAAUGGAUCAUCAAUUCGGAAGCUCUAUCAUUAAAAAUAACUUAUGAGUAUGAAAGGCUCUAUACUUAUAAUAAUAUAGUAGCCCUAGCCUU
rnacentral:lncRNA from 1 species